GGGGUUGUGGCUCAGAGGUAGAGCUCCGCCUAGCCCAUGCGAGGCCCUGGGUUCGAACCUCAGCAUCUUUA
rnacentral:tRNA from 1 species